ensembl:lncRNA
GUCUACCAGAAAAACUGUUCUCCCUGAGUUCCGUUCCUGUUAGAAUAUGUCAGUCUCUGAGAGGCCUCAGUUUUUAAGUGUAUGAAAUGGGCAUAACUCUACUGGCAUCUCCUCCUGAGGAAGACUUGCCAUCAGACGCUUUUACUUAUUGGAAGGUUGACAGCGUGGACGGACCCCAAGUCUGGGCUGUCGGUGGGGUCCUGCUUCUGCAUGAUGGAAGGCAGGCAUCUUGGGAAGAAUAAUUAGCCAGAAAGAAGAACUUACUUGGUGUGACCAAGAGUUUGGUGCCCUUCCCGAAGGUGAAAAAUGACUGAGCAGACAGCUAUCCAGCUAGACGCCCACUCCUCAGAGUCUGAAGAAAGAUGGGGGCAGGAAGGGGCUACGCAAGACACACAUCUGAAUUUCACCUGAGACAGAACUGUUUCACAGAGCCCUCGCCUCAUCCUGGGCUCUGUUCUGGAGAGGCCGUACCACCUCACCCUGAAGACACCUUACCUGAGGUCAAGCAUAUGUUUGCUACACUGAUUAUAGACCUGCCCUAUGAGUGGUAGUGCGGGUCAUCCCUUGGCCCAGAAGGACUCUAGCCUUUCAGGGAAUGCUGUUCUUUCACAGUCCAUGGUUUCCUUACCACUAAGAGAUGGACACUGGAUGGCAUUACCCCCAGUCCUGAUUGAAUCCUUGUUUGACCCAUAAAAAAACAAACCCCACUGUUUCCUCCUCAUUGACUACCUGACCCCCAAAGUGUCUUUAUCACAGUUAUUAAAAAGG